CUACGGGUGGCUGCAGUGGGGAAUAUUGCACAAUGGGCGCAAGCCUGAUGCAGCCAUGCCGCGUGUAUGAAGAAGGCCUUCGGGUUGUAAAGUACUUUCAGCGGGGAGGAAGGGAGUAAAGUUAAUACCUUUGCUCAUUGACGUUACCCGCAGAAGAAGCACCGGCUAACUCCGUGCCAGCAGCCGCGGUAAUACGGAGGGUGCAAGCGUUAAUCGGAAUUACUGGGCGUAAAGCGCACGCAGGCGGGUUGUUAAGUCAGAUGUGAAAUCCCCGGGCUCAACCUGGGAACUGCAUCUGAUACUGGCAAGCUUGAGUCUCGUAGAGGAGGGUAGAAUUCCAGGUGUAGCGGUGAAAUGCGUAGAGAUCUGGAGGAAUACCGGUGGCGAAGGCGGCCCCCUGGACGAAGACUGACGCUCAGGUGCGAAAGCGUGGGGAGCAAACAGGAUUAGAUACCCGGGUAGUC
rnacentral:rRNA from 1 species